CAAUAGCGUAUAUUAAAGUUGUUGCAGUUAAAAAGCUCGUAGUUGGAUUUCUGGAGGGAGCGUCGGCCCGUAUUUACGAGUGCGUGACGUCUCUGUCCAUCCUUGCGGGAAGGCACGGCAUUGAUUUGUUGUGUCGGAUCGCAUCAUUUACUGUGAAAAAAUUAGAGUGUUCAAAGCAGGCUUUCGCUUGAAUACAUUAGCAUGGAAUAAUAAGAUAGGACUUUGGUGCUAUUUUGUUGGUUGAGCCUAAAGUAAUGAUUAAUAGGGAUAGUUGGGGGCACCUGUAUUGCGUUGUCAGAGGUGAAAUUCUUGGAUUUACGCAAGACAAACAGCUGCGAAAGCGUCUGCCAAGGAUGCUUUCAUUAA
rnacentral:rRNA from 1 species